GACCUUGAAAUACCACCCUUUAAUGUUUGAUGUUCUAACGUUGACCCGUAAUCCGGGUUGCGGACAGUGUCUGGUGGGUAGUUUGACUGGGGCGGUCUCCUCCUAAAGAGUAACGGAGGAGCACGAAGGUUGGCUAAUCCUGGUCGGACAUCAGGAGGUUAGUGCAAUGGCAUAAGCCAGCUUGACUGCGAGCGUGACGGCGCGAGCAGGUGCGAAAGCAGGUCAUAGUGAUCCGGUGGUUCUGAAUGGAAGGGCCAUCGCUCAACGGAUAAAAGGUACUCCGGGGAUAACAGGCUGAUACCGCCCAAGAGUUCAUAUCGACGGCGGUGUUUGGCACCUCGAUGUCGGCUCAUCACAUCCUGGGGCUGAAGUAGGUCCCAAGGGUAUGGCUGUUCGCCAUUUAAAGUGGUACGCGAGCUGGGUUUAGAACGUCGUGAGACAGUUCGGUCCCUAUCUGCCGUGGGCGCUGGAGAACUGAGGGGGGCUGCUCCUAGUACGAGAGGACCGGAGUGGACGCAUCACUGGUGUUCGG
rnacentral:rRNA from 1 species